UACGAAGGGUGCAAGCGUUACUCGGAAUUACUGGGCGUAAAGGGUGCGUAGGCGGUUUGUUAAGUCUGUCGUGAAAUCCCCGGGCUCAACCUGGGAAUGGCGAUGGAUACUGGCGAGCUAGAGUGUGUCAGAGGAUGGUGGAAUUCCCGGUGUAGCGGUGAAAUGCGUAGAGAUCGGGAGGAACAUCAGUGGCGAAGGCGGCCAGCUGGGACAAAACUGACGCUGAAGCACGAAAGCGUGGGGAGCAAACAGG
rnacentral:rRNA from 1 species